GAUGAACGCUGGCGGCGUGCUUAACACAUGCAAGUCGAACGGAAAGGCCCAAGCUUGCUUGGGUACUCGAGUGGCGAACGGGUGAGUAACACGUGGGUGAUCUGCCCUUCACUUCGGGAUAAGCCUGGGAAACUGGGUCUAAUACCGGAUAGGACCACCUUUUGGAUGGUGGGGUGGAAAGUUUUUCGGUGUGUGAUGAGCUCGCGGCCUAUUAGCUUGUUGGUGGGGUAAUGGCCUACCAAGGCGUCGACGGGUAGCCGGCCUGAGAGGGUGUACGGCCACAUUGGGACUGAGAUACGGCCCAGACUGCUACGGGAGGCAGCAGUGGGGAAUAUUGCACAAUGGGCGGAAGCCUGAUGCAGCGACGCCGCGUGGGGGAUGACGGCCUUCGGGUUGUAAACUCCUUUCGCUAGGGACGAAGCGUUAUGGGACGGUACCGGGAGAAGAAGCACGGGCAAACUACGG
rnacentral:rRNA from 1 species